GACGAACGCUGGCGGCGUGCUUAACACAUGCAAGUCGAACGGAAAGGCCCUGCUUUUGUGGGGUGCUCGAGUGGCGAACGGGUGAGUAACACGUGAGUAACCUGCCCUUGACUUUGGGAUAACUUCAGGAAACUGGGGCUAAUACCGGAUAGGAGCUCCUGCUGCAUGGUGGGGGUUGGAAAGUUUCGGCGGUUGGGGAUGGACUCGCGGCUUAUCAGCUUGUUGGUGGGGUAGUGGCUUACCAAGGCUUUGACGGGUAGCCGGCCUGAGAGGGUGACCGGCCACAUGGGGACUGAGAUACGGACCAGACGCCUACGGGAGGCAGCAGUGGGGAAUAUUGCACAAUGGGCGGAAGCCUGAUGCAGCAACGUCGCGUGCGGGAUGACGGCCUUCGGGUUGUAAACCGCUUUCGCCUGUGACGAAGCGUGAGUGACGGUAAUGGGUAAAGAAGCACCGGCUAACUACGUG
rnacentral:rRNA from 1 species